GACGAACGCUGGCGGCGUGCUUAACACAUGCAAGUCGAACGCUGAAGCUCAGCUUUUGUUGGGUGGAUGAGUGGCGAACGGGUGAGUAACACGUGAGUAACCUGCCCCCUUCUUUGGGAUAACGCCCGGAAACGGGUGCUAAUACUGGAUAUUCACUGGUCUUCGCAUGGGGGUUGGUGGAAAGGGUUUUUCUGGUGGGGGAUGGGCUCGCGGCCUAUCAGCUUGUUGGUGGGGUGAUGGCGUACCAAGGCUUUGACGGGUAGCCGGCCUGAGCGGGUGACCGGUCACAUUGGGACUGAGAUACGGCCCAGACUCCUACGGGGGGCAGCAGUGGGGAAUAUUGCACGAGGGGCGCAAGCCUGAUGCAGCGACGCCGCGUGAGGGAUGGAGGCCUUCGGGUUGUGAACCUCUUUCGCUCAUGGUCAAGCCGCAACAAUGGUUGUGGUGAGGGUAGUGGGUAAAGAAGCGCCGGCUAACUACGUG
rnacentral:rRNA from 1 species